AAGAAUAUUGAAAUGUACUGUUGGCUGCGUUUUGGAUACAUGCUCCAUGAAAUAUUCAUAAUAAAGUUGGGCUUCAGUUCUGCAGUCAGUAGUGAUGCAUCAAACACUGUCUGCGUGUUUGCAAGAUCAGAGACUGCAUUUAUGCCCAGCAAGCCACAAACAGACAGCAGGCUAAACCUGCCACACUAAAAGUGCAGUGGCUGAUUGUGGCUCCUUACUUCUCAAGAUAAUUUAUAUGGGAUUUUUAACUAAAGAAAUAUCUAUCUGUACCAUAUUUUCAUCUUUAAACUGUAUUUAGUAUCAUUAAUGUGAUCAGAAAUGUCCACAAAAUUGCUCUAUUAAAAAAACAGAGUACCUAUACUAUAUCAUUUGGUAAACAUGAGUGAUGCUUUGUUCACUAAACUGCUCACUCCAGUCGAAGAGUCCAGAUCUGCGUUCAGAAGGCUUCAUCUUAGAAACUGCCUCCAAGAGGACCGCAGCCGGAUCCCUGAGGAGGACACGGUCCAUCACUACAUUGGCAAUACAAUAGGUGAGACUUUCUUUCACCAACAAGAACAUGGAAAUCUUGUACUUCAGUGCAAUCAGCCAGUUGCUAAAGAAAGUAAGAGAAUAGAUUGGUAUAAGACAGCAGACGAUAUGCAACAAUUUGAGUUAAUUAACUGCUCUUCCAAGUGUAAUCACUUGUGUACAGAAACAGUUUGCAAUGAAACCUUAGAGGUGGCACGAGUUUCAUCUGAUGGGAGGAUGUUUGCAUGUGGAGCACUUUCAAGUGAUGAAGAACCAAUGACUUCCCUACUAUUCAGCAAUGCGUCUCACUGCAGGCGCUAUAGCUUCUUUCUUGUACAGACUAAAACCGAAUCAGGGAAAAAGAGCUCAGGCAAUGUUCAGGAAAAAUCCCAAGUCUCUCUCAAAUUCAAAGAAACAGAUAACAUCACCCUGUCUUGUGAAUUUUACACUAACUGCUCAGGACACUGUUUUUUUAUGUACUGGAUCAGAGUCAGUAAAACAAGUGAAUGCCUUUUUUCUGCUGCGAAUGAAGCCCUGGCCCCAAGCUUGACUUUUAAUGAGCACUGCUGUGUUGAUCGCGACAUCCAGGAACGACUGCUGAACAAUACAAACUUCAAUUCCACUCACAAAAGACAUAACAUGACUAUCCUGAACGUCACGAGUGCUGACAGCGGGCAAUAUUUAUGCAUUGUUGCUGCCUGGCAACAUGGUAAACUUGAGUGGCAAGUUCCUACUAACCGGUCAGUGGAUGUUCAGAAAGACCAAACGGCACCUAUGCAGUGGCAUGUCAUCUCUGGAGCUGUAGCUGGGAUUAUUUUUCUCAAUGUGACAGUAGGACUGAUCUGUCUGAAGAUAUUCAAAUCAAAAGGGAAAAAAACAACCACACAAGUUACCAGAGAUCACGAUGCUAUUGGAAUGACAGAAGAUGAAUGUUCUCCAUAUGCAGUAAGUGGCAGCAGCGACAUGUACAGAAAUGAGAGCCUUUACUCCCGUGUAACAAGGACCUGCACGGAGCCAAAUGGGCCCUCUUCUAGCCCAGAUAACAGGGCUACUGGGGCAGGACAGGGAGCAGAUAUACGUACUGUCUAUGCACUGCUGAAUAAAUAG
rnacentral:lncRNA from 1 species